rnacentral:rRNA from 1 species
GAUGAACGCUAGCGAUAGGCCUAACACAUGCAAGUUGAGGGGCAGCAUAGAGUAGCAAUACUUUGAUGGCGACCGGCGCACGGGUGAGUAACACGUAGGCAACCUACCUACAUCAGGGGAAUAACCCGGAGAAAUUCGGACUAAUACCGCAUAAUACAGGGAUGCCGCAUGGCAAUAUUUGUUAAAGAUUUAUCGGAUGUAGAUGGGCAUGCGUUCCAUUAGCUAGUUGGUAAGGUAACGGCUUACCAAGGCAACGAUGGAUAGGGGAACUGAGAGGUUUGUCCCCCACACUGGAACUGAGACACGGACCAGACUCCUACGGGAGGCAGCAGUGAGGAAUAUUGGUCAAUGGACGAGAGUCUGAACCAGCCAAAUCGCGUGAAGGAGGACUGCCCUACGGGUUGUAAACUUCUUUUGUACAGGAAUAAAAGACAUUACGUGUAAUGUAUUGCAUGUACUGUACGAAUAAGCAUCGGCUAACUCCGUGCCAGCCGCCGCAGUAA